GACACACAAAUCCUCCUCACCAGAAACAUGACUCUGAUCUGCGUCCUCAUCUGGACUCUCCUCUGCUGCUGCUUCACAGGUAAAGUCCAGAGAAUACAACUCCUCUCCUCUAUCAACAUCCGUCCCUCUCAAAUCAAGCCCACAGAACCAUGACGCUGCUUUCUCUUUGUGUCUCUGUAUCCUCAGAGUCCAGAGGACAGGUCACAGUGACUCAGUCUGGAGCAGUGAGCUCUGCUCUGGGAGGCUCCGUCACCAUCAGCUGUAAGACCAAUGCAGCAGUUUAUUACUUUCCUGCUUAUUCUCACUAUUUACACUGGUACCAACAGAAAGAUGGAGGAGUUCCCAAACUGCUCAUUAAGUAUGUUAAUCAGCGAUUGUCAGGGAUUCCAGAUCGUUUUACAGGCAGUGGAUCAAACUCUGACUUCACUCUGACCAUCAGUGGAGUCCAGACUGAAGAUGCAGCAGUUUAUUACUGUCAGAGUGCUCACUACAUCAACAGUCAGUGGUUGUUCACACAGUGA